rnacentral:rRNA from 1 species
UACGUAGGGUGCAAGCGUUGUCCGGAAUUAUUGGGCGUAAAGAGCUCGUAGGCGGUCUGUCGCGUCGGCUGUGAAAACUCGGGGCUCAACCCCGAGCCUGCAGUCGAUACGGGCAGACUAGAGUUCGGUAGGGGAGACUGGAAUUCCUGGUGUAGCGGUGAAAUGCGCAGAUAUCAGGAGGAACACCGGUGGCGAAGGCGGGUCUCUGGGCCGAAACUGACGCUGAGGAGCGAAAGCGUGGGGAGCGAUCCGG